CGAUGUCAACCGAUAACGUCAACCGAAAUUAUCGGUACCAACAACGACCAUUCGAUAAUUAAUCUUUCUCGUGAUUUUUUUCUGUUGUCAGUAGCGAAAUUCCAACGAUCACCAUUCAAUUAGCACAACUAUAGGACUGACUGACUCAUAAACUUUAUAACUGCAAGGUCGGUUUUACAAUUCACCCACAAUUUCAAGGAAAAGCAUUUCUCUCAAAAUAUUUAGAACGACCCUAUGCGCUCUCAAAUCGCAAAUCAAUACGAGGCGCCCAUAUGUGUGACUACGCAGUAGCGACUUUUGGAAUCUGCGUCCUCCACGAUGUCGUGCGGAGCAUAGUGAGCUGACCGGAACGAUCCAGUUGGCGAAAUUUGAACAUCAUGUUUCCAGCGAUAGAUCACGUAUAGGAAACACGCAAUAAUUUGAGACCGAUGUGUAUAAAUAGUAUAAAAUAAGAUGUUG